AUUCAAUUUGGGAAUGUGAGGUUUAAGUAUAAUGACGUCACCAAAACUCUUCAUUCGAGCGUUGGAGUUUCCAAAAUGAAAUUUUCAAAUGUACAAUAAACAUAUUGAUCAUAAUCUCUGUAUAAAUAAAAAGAGAAAUUGAUACACAGCACUGCAUUUACAUCUACAUAAUACUUUUUAACUUCAAUAUGUUUAAGAUUACAAGAAGGC
rnacentral:lncRNA from 1 species